GCGUAAGAGCUCGUAGGCGGUUUGUCGCGUCUGCUGUGAAAUCCCGAGGCUCAACCUCGGGCCUGCAGUGGGUACGGGCAGACUAGAGUGCGGUAGGGGAGAUUGGAAUUCCUGGUGUAGCGGUGGAAUGCGCAGAUAUCAGGAGGAACACCGAUGGCGAAGGCAGAUCUCUGGGCCGUAACUGACGCUGAGGAGCGAAAGGGUGGGGAGCAAACAGGCUUAGAUACCCUGGUAGUCCACCCCGUAAACGUUGGGAACUAGUUGUGGGGUCCAUUCCACGGAUUCCGUGACGCAGCUAACGCAUUAAGUUCCCCGCCUGGGGAGUACGGCCGCAAGGCUAAAACUCAAAGGAAUUGACGGGGACCCGCACAAGCGGCGGAGCAUGCGGAUUAAUUCGAUGCAACGCGAAGAACCUUACCAAGGCUUGACAUAUACGAGAACGGGCCAGAAAUGGUCAACUCUUUGGACACUCGUAAACAGGUGGUGCAUGGUUGUCGUCAGCUCGUGUCGUGAGAUGUUGGGUUAAGUCCCGCAACGAGCGCAACCCUCGUUCUAUGUUGCCAGCACGUAAUGGUGGGAACUCAUGGGAUACUGCCGGGGUCAACUCGGAGGAAGGUGGGGAUGACGUCAAAUCAUCAUGCCCCUUAUGUCUUGGGCUUCACGCAUGCUACAAUGGCCGGUACAAAGGGCUGCAAUACCGCGAGGUGGAGCGAAUCCCAAAAAGCCGGUCCCAGUUCGGAUUGAGGUCUGCAACUCGACCUCAUGAAGUC
rnacentral:rRNA from 1 species